GUGAAAGCAGGAGCAUCACAGCUGAAAAAUCCUCCUCGCUGCUCAUUUAUGAGAAUAUGGUCAUGAGUGAAGAAUCCUCAGUUAUCAUUUAGUUGGAACUGCAACUCAGUUCUGGAGAAAUCUCCCAGAGGGCUUGGAUCUGGGUAUCUUGUAGGCUGAUCUGUGAUCCCAACAGCAGACCAAGCUUGGUUCCUUGAAUGCAGAAUGUGGCCACAUGGGGACUUCCUUCUCCCACGGACCUCCUGGUGCAUCAGUCACCAGGCCAAAGGAGAAUUCCUCUACAAAAAUGCUGGCCUUCCUGCUUCUCAGCUUCAUCAACUUCAAAAUGAAAGCAAAGCUGACUUAUUUUACAGAACAGGUGCUGUCUUCCAGUUGCUAGGGGACCUGAGAAAGGCUACUGACAUCUGGUUUUCUGCCAUUAAUAGUAGCAAAUUAAGCCUUUUAGGGUAGGGAUAAAGGUUGCUUGGAGAAGACAGGAGAGAAUUGAAUGGCUAGUUCAAAAGAAAAGUUGGCAGCAGAUUUGCCAGCACGCAACAGAGAUAAAUACAAUUAGAUAGUAGUGUUUUAAAAUCUCUUGAUAAUUAUGCAUGACUGCCUGAGGACAAAUUGUUUGCUGUUUUGUUUCACAGACUGGCAUUUGGGCUUAUGGGGUAAUUAUGCCAUUAGCGAAAUAUUGACAUUUAGACAUUAAUGAAUUGGCCUGAUGGUUAUCUAUUAUUUACUUGUGCUUUGGAAUAUGAAUUCCUUUGCUGCUAUUUAUGGCUUGUGGCAAGGAUUUCUCAGGGAAAAUGCUUUUCUCCUGAUCCAUGAGGACUAGGAAGCUGUGACGCCUUAAAAGGACCAUUGAAACUAUCUGGAGAACUUUGCACUGGCUGCUGAUAAUGGUUGGUCUGGCUAUCAGGGUGAAUCUCUCUGUUCUUUUCCUAAUUGAAUUGAAAAAGUUUAGCCUUCCUUUCCCCAACUUUUUUGCCUCUUUAGAACCUAGAACCAAUAGGUUGCAAUGCUGGUUUGUUGCUAUGACAACAGUUCCAGGAAAAGUGCAAUGGUCUUUCCCAUCUAACAUAUAUAACCCCCAACGCUACCCUUUGGAGCAUCGCAGAAGCAUACCGUUCGUGCAAAGAGGAUGUUAAAACUAAUUCUUGUUCACAGGGUCAUUGAUUGGACAUUUUUGCUUCUCAACUUGGAAGCUUUAAGAUGUGAGGACUUCAACUCCCAUAAUUCCCCAGUCAGCAUUGGGGAUUUGGGGGAGUAUAACAGUCCUGGCCAUCUGGAGGGACCAGCUGGGAAGAGGUGCUUGAGUUUCUCACCCACAGCAACAUUAAAAUGUAUGGAUUUCAACUCCCAGAAUUCCUCAACCAGGGGAAUAAUAAAACUGCAUUCUUAGAAACCAUAAAACGAAGACUUUCCUGCAUUUACUGGAAGCUUAGAAGUAAAACAGCAUUCUUAGGAAACCCAGCAACAAAAAAAAAUUGUAAUAUUUUCCUGCCUUCAUUGAAUCAUUUUAAAAAAAUGACAUGGACUUUUGCAAACAAAGAAGUCAGGGAAGAAAAAAAAAAAUCCAGCAUUGCAAAGUGAAUUUUCCCUCUUUAUAAUCUUAGUAACUGUUUUUUUCCCCCUCCCCUCUUGUCUAUGCUGCUGACAUCAUAAUCUGUUGCCAUGGCACUGGGGGAACCAUCAGAAUAAUUUUGUUCAAGAGCAUAACCUUUCAGCAAGGUGAAUUCAGCAAAGUGGGACAGAGUGAGAAAGAAUUUGAAAAGUAGCAUCUCCGAACAUUGCAAGGACCGUUUUUUAAGAUGCUCAACCUCUCGUGUCUUGCCGUAAUCCUUUGGAAGGAAGGGACUACAGCGAGAGCAUCAAAUGUGGAUGUUAUUGAUCACAAAUGUAUUUUUUAGCAAAAUCCACCAGGGGAAAAGUGAGAUUUUUUAAAAAAGAAAGGAUUCCCCCCCCCUAAUUUGACUAUUUUUUUUUCCUCCCUAAUCCAAAAAGUAACUGUCCUUCUAAGUCGUAUUUAAGUCUCAGGUUAUAGAGGCUGAUAGUUUGUAGCUGAAGGUCUCCAUUUAAAGAUACAGCUCCCAACAAAACAGCUUAGCCCUGAUUCAUGGCUUAUGACUUGAGUGUCACUAAACUCCCCAAAGUUGAUGAUUAAAGUUUGGUUGCCACAAUAGAAAAAAGAUGUUGAAACUCUAGAAAGAAUGCAGAGAAUAGCAACAAAGAUGAUUAGGGGUCUGGAGGCUAAAACAUAUAAAAUCAGUUUGUUAGUUACUUAGAUUUUAGGCAGAAACUCUUAUUUGUUGUUCAUCCUGAUUGAUGGUUCUUAUUACACUUCCACACGCUGUCUUCAGUGCCCUGGUUAAUUAUUGAAUAUCAAUUUGAUUUUAAUAGAAGUUUUGAAAUGUUAAAUUGCGAUAGGAUCCCUUUCAUAUGCAGCACUAAUCUAAUGAGUUGCUGAACAUACUUACUCAUUUUUUUAUAGCCUAUCCAUCUCUUCCAUUUCUUUUUCUCUUUUUCUUUUUUAAAAUAGGUUUUAAAAGUUAAAAAAUCUAGAGCAAUGGGGAAAAAAAAGAACUAAUCAAUUAGCUGAUUGAUCACACCGUUACCAAGACUGGAUCUCUCAGGUUUAUUCUAGAUUCACUAAAGCCACUCUCAAUUUUGUUUUUGUUUUUAGAUUUCAGAAACAUGCUGCAAUUUCAGACAAGGACCAGCUACUUCUUCCUUCGCUCCAUGCAAAAACUCUUGAAUUCUUGGCUUAAUACAGAGGAUACACAAAAUGAAGCUUUUGGCUGGCCGAAGAACCUCCAGGUUUAUGAGUGAAAACCAAUGAAGGAAGCAACUAGCAUGGAAACCCUACGUGGAAGGAGGCUGAUCACCCAUUCCAACUCAAUUGCAGGUAGUCCUCGAUUUAUGACGGCAAACUGGGGUGACGAUUUCUGCUGCUGAGACAGGCAAUUGUGUUACUUACUGAUUAAAUUGAUUUCCCACCCA